rnacentral:lncRNA from 1 species
GUUUGCUGUGUUUACUCGGCCUCAGCCCCGGCCGGGGGCGGCAGCAGCCCAGCAGGUCCUGGGGGCGGGGGUGACCAGGCCACAGCACAGACAUUUCCUUCUGGCCAGACAGGCCCCGCAACCUUGCUGCCCCCUCCUGCGCCCUUUCUGGGUGGGCGAGAGGCGAUGACCCCUCAUUCUGGGUUUCCAGUGGCCGCCAGUGAGGCUCCAACCUGGAUAUCCCAGCCGGGCUUCCCAGAGUGUGGGAGACAGAGGAGAUGGGGGGCACGGGGGGCGGGCCAAGACACACAGCAGCGAGAGGGAAAGGGCAAAGUGAGGAGAGGACAGAGCCCCCCAGAGGGAGACUCCAGCAGAGAAAGGGAUGGGGAAACGAGGUGACAGGAGCUGAGAACAGAGAUGGAGAAUGGCUGGGGACACGGAGUGGAAAAGGUGGGGAGGAGAGGGAGGGAGGGAGGGAGGGAGAGGCAUGGGAAAAACAAGGGAGGAGAGAGAGGGGAGACGGAAAGUCACGGGGAGACACCGACAGCCAGAGGUGUGGAGACAGAACGAGAAGACAGAGCAGUGGCGGUGAGGGAGGAAGGCAGAGGGCUGGAAAGAAACGCACAGAAGCAGGGAGAAGGGACGGGGGACAGAGGGACAGAGUGACUGGAGCUGGAGGGGGAAGAGUGCAGGGAGGCAGCUUGCUUUGGCAGGACGCAUGGAGGUGUCAGACGUGGGGGGCGGGGUGGCGGCC